AAGGGAAGAGAGGUGGGGCUGUAAGGCUGGGAUCCACUGACCACACCCGGUCGAACUAGCUACAAGCUAACCCAAAGCUAACGCGGAGGUGGGAGCUACUAACGGAGGUAGCAACCUAGCUAAAACCAGAGUUAACUGUGCACAACACCAGAGCUUCAGAGUCAGAGAUAGGCCGGGCUGACCACUGGGUAAAACCGGGUGGAACACAGAGGUCUCCCGAGAGCUCCACAAGCCAGCAGCCCGCGCAGCAGACAGAAGCCGCGAUCAGACAGAGACAACUACCCCUGACUGCAUCCCGGAGAUUGGGGCGGGGCUAAAUGUGGGCGGGGUCAAACGUUUAGAGGUGGGUGGAGACAACUAUUUGACUCCUGCGUCCUGCCCCUCUCUCAAUGGAACCAGGAAACCGCUGUGUGUGUGCAAUGCUGUAGCCGGGACAGAGGGAAGUAGCUGCCAAAAUCAAGGUCUGAGGAAGACAGGGUGCAGGCACGAAAAAGACGGAGAGAGGAAAGAGUAAAACAGGGCCUGGAAGUGGUCCCUCCUAAGAAGUCCUGCCAUACUGAAUUAGCCUGUGCAGCAUCAGGUAUUGUUCAAACAAGUAUUAUUGUACACAACCCCCUAGGUUGUCGAAAUGGGAUGUGGGAAGAAUCAAGAUUCAACUUUUUGUCAUAUGUACAGCUAGAAAAACACGCUUUCUGCACAAUGAAAUUCUUACUUUGCCAAGAUUAGAAAAUUAAGACCGUUCCAGACGAGCACUUUUUUUUUCAAAGCAAGUUUUUCAGUCAUUUCUCUAUUUUCAUUAAACCAGAAUACUAAGCAACUGAUCUUUUUUACAACUUGCACUGUUAAUAUGCUUUUUAUGAACCACAAUCUUUUUCCUUUCUAGCAGAGGCUGAGAACUUGCUGGAACUGGACACAGGGAACAGAGUAUGUUUUAUAUUGUUGGCUUUUCUUGUGUCAUUGUUUCUUCUCCAACCUCUAUUUUAAUUAGAGGUGUCAAAUAAUUCCAUUACUUGCAAUUAAUUUUUUACAGCCAUGAUUAACAUGUUAUAUAUUUUAAUUAUGUUAAUCAUUUUUAAUCUACUGCUUCUUUAUGGGACUUUUAAAUAAACCAAUUUCUUUUCUUUUACGCUUCUUGCUGGUGUUCUUGAAGGGUUGAUGUAAACUCAUAAGUUGAAGGGUUGACGUUACAGUGACAAGACCGGUGAGAGAUUAGCUGCAGCAGUGUUUAUUUCAGCGACCUUGUUAUCUUUACUCUGUUUUUUUCACCCUUCUUGCAACUUUUUCCAAAGUUAUUGUUACCAUUUGGAUGUAAUGGGUGUGUCACUGAGCAUCAAGGCUGCUGACAGCUUCUCUCCUGUAUCAGACGCACAUCCGUGCUGCAGUUUGUAAAGACCACAGCAUCAGCUGUUUGGUUAGCUGUUAGCAUUGAAAAUAAGGCUUAUAUUAUGUACAGUUAUUAGAUUAAAUUAAAAGAUUAGAUUACUUUCAGAUCAUACAUAAUUAAUGUAAAAUAUGUUUUUAAUCUCUUGACAGCAGUAAUUUUAAUAUUGUCUUUAUUUUUGAUUAGGAGAAUUCUCUGCUUGAGGACACCUUUGAGGCAGCAAGGUGGUGUACCACAAGGUCCUUCAAAAGAAGCCUUUCCCUUCCCCAGGUCAUCACCAUGGACAGGGAAGCUUGCCGGAGGGCAGUGGAGAGGUUAUGCUUCUGUGAUGGCCUAGAUGAAGAGGAGAUGAACGAUUGCAGGGAACUGUUCCUGUUCAUGUUUAGUUUUCAGUCAGACUAUGAGGAGUUCUGCAGAGAAAUUGAGGAAAAAAGGAAGAUCAGGGUGUUUUCUGGCUUUGAAAUGCCAUAGUACAGCGGUGUCACAGUUUUUGCAUUCUUUUUCCUCCUCACAUUGUUUUUUUGGAGGUUCUCUUGCUUUUUGUGUGCUUUUUGGUUCAUUUGUUUGUACUUUUUUUUUUCCUGUGUUGGCUGUUUGCUCUAUUAAAUUUACCUUUUUUGAAAAAUUUAGUCUGCAUUCUUGGGUGUCUCACACAAUGUCUCACCACCCCGCCUCAAACCCUGGCAUGUUUUAAGAAGUAUCAGCACAAUUUAAGUCUCUGGUCCUCUUAAUGUAGCUGAUAUAACUGAGUGUACAACAAAUUUACCCGUGUCUGUACUGUUUUACACUCACUUGGGAAAUGACUAUUAAAAUAAAGGCGGCAUUGAUAAAAUCAACUAUUAAAAUGGUUUUGACAGGUUUAAAGAAUAGUCUAUCAAAUGCCUGAACCUUUUAUAUAGGUACCAAAAGUAUAGCUAAAAGACACAAAUACCUAUGUGCUAUAAAUACACAUACCAUACAAAAGUAGAAAAAAGAAUAAAAAUAUCAGAACAGAUUGGAUCAAAAAUGGCGCCUGUAAUUAUCUGCUCUUUAAAAUUAUCAUGACAUCCAGCAAACAAGUCAUUUGAUUACCAAUGUUAUGCUUUACAUGGGUUUUGUGGGUUUUUAGGGCUUUCUAAUCCUUAGAAAGGGGCUACUCACGGUUUCCUGGUUCCAUUGAGAGAGGGGCAGGAGUCAAAUAGUUGUCUCCACCCACCUCUAAACGUUUAACCCCGCCCACAUUUAGCCCCGCCCCGAUCUCCGGGAUGCA